rnacentral:rRNA from 1 species
UACGUAGGGUGCAACGUUGUCCGGAAUUAUUGGGCGUAAAGAGCUCGUAGGCGGUUUGUCGCGUCUGCUGUGAAAUCCCGAGGCUCAACCUCGGGCCUGCAGUGGGUACGGGCAGACUAGAGUGCGGUAGGGGAGAUUGGAAUUCCUGGUGUAGCGGUGGAAUGCGCAGAUAUCAGGAGGAACACCGAUGGCGAAGGCAGAUCUCUGGGCCGUAACUGACGCUGAGGAGCGAAAGCAUGGGGAGCGAACAGG